rnacentral:rRNA from 1 species
UACGAAGGGGGCUAGCGUUGCUCGGAAUCACUGGGCGUAAAGGGUGCGUAGGCGGGUCUUUAAGUCAGGGGUGAAAUCCUGGAGCUCAACUCCAGAACUACCUUUGAUACUGAGGAUCUUGAGUUCGGGAGAGGUGAGUGGAACUGCGAGUGUAGAGGUGAAAUUCGUAGAUAUUGGGAAGAACACCGGUGGCGAAGGCGGCUCACUGGCUCGUAACUGACGCUCAUGCACGACAGCGUGGGGAUCAAACAGG